GUGCUUGCUUUGGCAGCACAUAUACUAACUAAACUUGGAAAAAUACAGAGAAGAUUAGCAUGACCCCCCGCCCUAGGAUGACAUGCAAAUUUAUGAAGCAUUCCAUAUAUUU
rnacentral:snRNA from 1 species